rnacentral:rRNA from 1 species
GAUCCUGCUCAGGAUGAACGCUAGCUACAGGCUUAACACAUGCAAGUCGAGGGGCAGCAUGGUCUUAGCUUGCUAAGGCUGAUGGCGACCGGCGCACGGGUGAGUAACACGUAUCCAACCUGCCGUCUACUCUUGGCCAGCCUUCUGAAAGGAAGAUUAAUCCAGGAUGGGAUCAUGAGUUCACAUGUCCGCAUGAUUAAAGGUAUUUUCCGGUAGACGAUGGGG